rnacentral:rRNA from 1 species
GACGAACGCUGGCGGCGUGCUUAACACAUGCAAGUCGAACGGAAAGGCCCUGCUUUUGUGGGGUGCUCGAGUGGCGAACGGGUGAGUAACACGUGAGUAACCUGCCCUUGACUUUGGGAUAACUUCAGGAAACUGGGGCUAAUACCGGAUAGGAGCUCCGGCGGCAUGGUGGGGGUUGGAAAGUUUCGGCGGUUGGGGAUGGACUCGCGGCUUAGCAGCUUGUUGGUGGGGUAGUGGCUUACCAAGGCUUUGACGGGUAGCCGGCCUGAGAGGGUGACCGGCCACAUUGGGACUGAGAUACGGCCAAGACUCCUACGGGAGGCAGCAGUGGGGAAUAUUGCACGAUGGGCGGAAGCCUGAUGCAGCAACGCCGCGUGCGGGAUGACGGCCUUCGGGUUGUAACCCGCUUUCGCCUGUGACGAAGCGUGAGUGACGGUAAUGGGUAAAGAAGCACCGGCUAACUACGUG